rnacentral:lncRNA from 1 species
GCUGUAGUGGCUUCGUCUUCGGUUUUUCUCUUCCUUCGCUAACGCCUCCCGGCUCUCGUCAGCCUCCCGCCGGCCGUCUCCUUAACACCGAACACCACAUAAAUGAGCAUAUUCUGAUGUACUCUUUGGAUCUGAACUCAUCUUCACAGAUGCCUUCAAUUAAGUUGCAGAGUUCUGAUGGAGAGAUAUUUGAAGUUGAUGUGGAAAUUGCCAAACAAUCUGUGACUAUUAAGACCAUGUUGGAAGAUUUGGGAAUGGAUGAUGAAGGAGAUGAUGACCCAGUUCCUCUACCAAAUGUGAAUGCAGCAAUAUUAAAAAAGUUGACUAUUGUCAUUUAUUGGGCAUCUGUACUGUGUCUACCUAUGCAAACACUUCCCUAGGAAGGAUGAUCUACAUGUAGAAUAUCUGGAUCGCAGGUCAUUCAGUGGUGCACCCACCACAAGGAUGACCCUCCUCCUCCUGAAGAUGAUGAGAACAAAGAAAAGCGAACAGAUGAUAUCCCUGUUUGGGACCAAGAAUUCCUGAAAGUUGACCAAGGAACACUUUUUGAACUCAUUCUGGCUGCAAACUACUUAGACAUCAAAGGUUUGCUUGAUGUUACAUGCAAGACUGUUGCCAAUAUGAUCAAGGGGAAAACUCCUGAGGAGAUUCGCAAGACCUUCAAUAUCAAAAAUGACUUUACUGAAGAGGAGGAAGCCCAGGUACGCAAAGAGAACCAGUGGUGUGAAGAGAAGUGAAAUGUUGUGCCUGACACUGUAACACUGUAAGGAUUGUUCCAAAUACUAGUUGCACUGCUCUGUUUAUAAUUGUUAAUAUUAGACAAACAGUAGACAAAUGCAGCAGCAAGUCAAUUGUAUUAGCAGAAUAUUGUCCUCAUUGCAUGUGUAGUUUGAGCACA